CAGAGCUCUAAUACAGACUUGCAAGUGUCCACUGGAUUUGCCAAUAUGGAUUGGACAUCUCAGUGAAAAGUCCAGUGAAAAGCCAAGAUUGCAGCAGCUCAGGAGUAAAUGACAGGGACCUUGGAGUUUCUGUGAUCACAUUUCUGGUGUGACUCUUGGAUCCCUUCCUAUCCAUUUUUGAACCUACGAAGCAACACAUCUUUGGUUUACUUUUUCAAUCCUAUUUAUGAAAGGAUGCAAGAAGGUUAUAGAGCAUUCCAUCUCUGAGAAAUCCUAAAUGAAGGUUUUCUUCUUUCUGAAUAAGUCUCCACAGUCC
rnacentral:lncRNA from 1 species